UUUAAGUAGUCAUGAUUUUUCGUAUCCAACUUUGAUCGUCCGUCUUAUUUGAAAUAUUUUUAUGAUUAGUAUUUUUAUUGUUAUUAGAUAAUAAAACAUGAAUAGUACUUUAUGUGUGAUUUAUGUUUUUAAUUUUUUUUCAAUUUUUUUAAAUAAAACGAACUGUUAAAAUUGUACACGAAAACUUGGCUGCACUUAAA
rfam:Oryza glaberrima chromosome 12 Oglab12_0205_21, whole genome shotgun sequence.